GGCAACUUGCCAGAGUGGUCUAAUGGGUGAGACUUGAAAUCUCAUGGGCUCCGCCCGCACAGGUUCGAACCCUGUAGUUGUCG
rnacentral:tRNA from 1 species